rnacentral:pre_miRNA from 1 species
AUGUGGAUCACCCGGGGAUCUUGAUAAAAGGCAGACUCUGGCUCAAAAAGUCUAGGAUGGGGCCCGAGAUUCUGCAUUUUCCACAAGCUCCCAGGUGAUCUGAUA